rnacentral:misc_RNA from 1 species
UCCGGGUUGACCCCGGCAGUCUCCCAUGAGUCCCCACCAUCACGUGCUGGCAACAUGGAACAAGGGUUGCGCUCGUUGCGGGACUUAACCCAACAUCUUACGACACGAGCUGACGACAGCCAUGCACCACCUGCACACAGGCCACAAGGGAACCGACAUCUCUGCCGGCGUCCUGUGCAUGUCAAACCCAGGUAAGGUUCUUCGCGUUGCGUCGAAUUAAACCACAUGCUCCGCUGCUUGUGCGGGCCCCCGUCAAUUCCUUUGAGUUUUAGCCUUGCGGCCGUACUCCCCAGGCGGGGCGCUUAAUGCGUUAGCUGCGGCACGGAGAACGUGGAAAGUCCCCCACACCUAGCGCCCAACGUUUACGGCGUGGACUAC